GGAGCGGAGCUGCUCUCUGACAACAUCUCCAGGACACUUCGCUCCAUGUGACUAAUCACCGGUGACUUGACUCUGUCCUUGGGGCUGGGUCUGCGGCCAUUCUGCGCAGCGGCACUGGGUUGGCGGCCAUCUUGCGCAGCGGCACUGGACUGGCGGGCAUCUUGUGCAGCGGCGCUGGCUCGGCAGACUUGCGCCUCCUUUCCCCUCUCCGUCCACAAUGGUGAGACGGCGGCUCCCAUCCGUUUCUCACAAACCCAGGGUCGACGGGGGGCCAUGGUGGAGAGUGAUGCCGGACCUCCUCUCGACCACUCACUCAUGAGCUACCUCCCCUGGUCCCACGAAACAAGACAAGGCGAGUACCCACAAAACCAUUCCUCUCCCGCUCGGUGACUGGGGAGGAAAUAUGAACAGACAUACCACUGGAUCUUUUUGAUGGAGUCCUUCUGUGACGAUUGUGCACCAGAGAGUCACAGGGAGAUAAAAAGAUCCAAAUGCAGAUGUCUUUAAUAAGAGAUAAUCUAAAUCGUAGUCAACAAGCCAAGGUCAAAACCAAACAAUCAGUCCAAAACAAAACAAACAAAGGAAGGUCAGGAAAAGGGACUCGGAAUACGAGCGGACUCGGAGGACGAGCAGACAGAAAGAAUCUCGGGGGACAAGAAUGCUGGAUUCACGAAGGGGAAGGACUCCAUACACACAACAGGAAAAGACUGGUAUUUAUAGGGAGACUAAUGACAAAUAAAUUGACUGCACCUGGUGCAAUUAACAGGAGUGCAAUUACUGUGAUGACAGGACAAGACUAGAGAAAUACUAGUGCCUACGGUGAAGUGCCUAAGGGGAAGUGAGCCCACUAGUGGACACCCAGGGAAACAGAGACUAGGCAGCAUGACAGUCACCUCUGUAUUCACCUAUAUUCAUUAGAGACUAUAUUCACCAAAAUAAGGACCCAGUGACUGACUGAACAAUUAUUUGAAUACUGUGCUUUAAUAAACAGGCUGGCUUUGUAUUUGGUAUAGAGACACUGCAGACAAAAACAAUGAUUUAUGCACCAGUCAAUUUUGAGAUUUUUGUUUUGUCAUUAAGUUUUUAACUUUUUUUUCAGACCAAUGGAACGAAAACAUCCAAAAUACACCUUCAAGUGUUUCUUUCAUAGCACUUUAUCUAUUUCUGUUUUGUACAUAUCUUUAAAGGCUGCUUUCUCAAAAUGAUAAUCCCAAAUUCAAUAUCUCUGAAAAUGUAAAUAUUGUGAAAAGGUUCAAUAUUGAAGACACCUGGUGCCAAAAGCAGAAUGUAAGAAAUGCUCUAAAAUAAUGGCAUUACAGACUCUUGCUCUUCACCAGCAGCAUUUGAAGAAAAGGGAAUUUAUUUAUUGUAUGAGAUGACAUCAUUCUGACUGCUUUUAUUGUUUAUUUGACAUCAUUUAUUUUAAGUGGACAGAUGUAAAGUGUCCUGUAUGCAUGAAACUACAGCCUUAUAUUACAUUCAUUUCAGUUUGUCAGAUUGAGCCAUAACAGCUUCUGUGCAUCUUUGAUUACAAAUACAUGCAAAUAUCAGCUCGACUUCGGCCUGAUGAUUACUGUUAGAUAUUUGAGUGACAGCUGUGUGGCUCCUGUCAUAUAAAGCUGUUGUGCUCGUGGAGAAAUAACAAAGCAGAAAAGAGCAUCAUUUCAGAAGAAGAGAUGCUGAUGAAGAUGUUCUAGUGAUCAAGCAGCAGAUUGAAGCUCUGAAGCUCCUGAAAGACUGAAUUAGAGCCAGAUCAACUGUGUUCAGCAGUGAUACUGUGAGUGUUUGGACACAAUUCAUUUAGUGAAUCGAGUGUUAAAUCAGCGCAGACAGAAAAAUAAAGCAGACGAUCAGGAGACGGAUUCAUUCGGAGUCAAUUCAGCCUCUGAUCUCAAUCACAUUCAUGAUUAUUCAUACUGUCAUCAGUUCACAUCAGGAUUCAGAAACCAGUUCAGGAUCAAAUGAGUCACUCAUGGACUUUUAUUACAUUUGAUGAGCAGUUUACAAUAGAAAUAUUAAAGCACACAUAUUACUCUGUUUAUUAAAGAUUCAGAACAGUAUGAGAGUCUGAUCUAGAUUCAUAACUUCUGUAUGACGAUGAAAAACUAAU